ACCAGGCAAAAUGGCACACACCUGUAGUCCCAUCUACUAGGAAGGCUAAGGCAGGGGGAUCACUUGAGCCCAGGAGUUCUGGGCUGUAAUGUGCUACAUACCAAUGGGGCAUCCACACUAAGUUAGACAUCAACAUGGUAACCUCCCAGCAAUGGGAGACCACCAGGUUGCCUAAGGAGGGGUGAACCACCCAGGUUGGAAAUGGAGCAGAUCAAAAGUCCCAUUCUGAGACCAUGCCUGUAAAUAGGUAGCCUGGGUAACACAGUGAGACCCCCCCGCCCUU
ensembl:misc_RNA Metazoa_SRP Metazoan signal recognition particle RNA